UACGGAGGGUGCGAGCGUUGUCCGGAAUCAUUGGGCGUAAAGGGCGCGUAGGUGGCCCGGUCAGUCCGUGGUGAAAGCGCGGGGCUCAACCCUGCGUCGGCCAUGGAUACUGCAGCGGCUCGAGCACUGUAGAGGCAGGCGGAAUUCCGGGUGUAGCGGUGGAAUGCGUAGAGAUCCGGAAGAACACCGGUGGCGAAGGCGGCCUGCUGGGCAGUUUUGCUGACACUGAGGCGCGACAGCGUGGGGAGCAAACAGG
rnacentral:rRNA from 1 species